rnacentral:rRNA from 1 species
GAUGAACGCUGGCGGCGUGCCUAAUACAUGCAAGUCGAGCGAACGGACUAGUAGCUUGCUUUUCUGAUGUUAGCGGCGGACGUGUGAGUAACACGUGGAUAACCUCCCUAUAAUCCUGGGAUAACUGCGGGACUCCGGAGCUAAUCCCGUAUAAUAAUUUUAUCCGCAUGGUUCAAGAGUGAAAGACGGUCUUGCUUUCACUUAUAGAUUGAUCCGCUCUGCAUUAGCUAGUUGGUAAGGUAACGGCUUACCAAGGCAGCGAUGCAUAGCCGACCUGGGAGAGUGAUAGGCCACACGGGAACGGAGACAGGGACAAGACGCCUACGAGAGGCAGCAGUAGGGAAUGUGAGGCAAUGGGCGAAAGUAUGACGGAACAAGGCCGAGUGAGAGAUGGAGGUGUUCGGAUCGUAAAAAUCUGUUAUUAGGGAAGAACAUAUGUGUAAGUAACUGUGGAGAACUUGACGGUACCUAAUCAGAAAGCCACGGCUAACUACGUG